ACCCGGUAGUUGCUCUCCACGAUGAUGUGCGCGUCGUUGACACUCCCCCCCUCGGGCGGGGGAACGGAGCCGGGGGCAACGGCCCCAGCCGCCCCGCCGCCGCCACUGACACCUGUACGACUGCCGCCUCCUCCUCCUUCCCCCCCGCCGCCAGCGCCUCCUCCUCCCCUUCCUCCGCCCCCACACAAGGACGCGGCCAGGCGAGUGGGUGUGAAGUAGAGGCUGCCGUCUGUUGCCUGAUGUGGCAACAGGGGGUGGGGGUGGGGGUGGGGGAAGGGGCAAUAUGUGGCGAUGCAGCAGCUCAGGAACCCAUUGCCUACUGGCGGGUGCAGAGCAGUUGUGUGUGGG
rnacentral:lncRNA from 1 species